AAAACUUCCUUUGAAGUGCGAUCGCAGCGAGAGGGAAGACGCCCUCGUGUCCGCGAGAGGUGCAGGAAUGAGAGUCCAGAGGUCGCCGUGACGGCCACAGGACGUGCCGAGGAGAUGGAGGAGGAGGAAUCCCUCACCUGCUCAGGUCUGACACAGAUCACUGGGUGACGCACGAGGUCGCGGCGAGCUGAAGUCAAAGUGAUCACAGAACACUGAGGAGGCCACGCUUCACCUCACUGGCGUCUGCAGGUGUGUUUGUGCUGCAGAUGAAGAAGAAGAGUGAGCUCGCCGCUGCGCACGAGCAGGGAGGAGUUAUUGGAUUUACUCAGCACACAAACAGUCUCAUUUCCUGGAGCGCCGACCCCGCCCAGCAACAGGAAACAGCUCGCCGCUCUCAGCAGGCGCACACAAACAUCCAUCAGACUCUGAGUCCGACACACCGGCCUUUCUACGGCGAGAGUGAACAACAAACACGCCGGAAGUCUUCACAGAGCUUCAUCGGGCAGUAAAGUCUUCACUCUGCACAACCAACCGGUUCUGUGGUUUGUGGGGGGAGAACAGAACCACCAGAGAACUGAAGUUCCAGGAACCUUUAAGGAACAUUACAGCAGCGUUAUCAGUAAACUAACCAGAACCUUUACAGAAGGUUAGUAAACCGGCCAGGAACGCCUCACCGAAGGUUCUGUUUACGUUCGAAGAACAUUCCCUAAACGAUCAGCUGA